UACAUCUUUGGGUAGUUUUCCCUUUUAAUUACACCUUAUGUAAGAAUCCGGGGUUUUGAUUGGUUAAUAGCCAGUGUAUUUUUCACCAAUUUACUGUUAUCAAAUGAAUAUCGUUCAUUUUUAACGCCGCCGGGGUAUUUGCUAAAAGGAUAUGCCUUUUUUACCCUCUCUGCCGUGGUAUUUGCCAAAAAAAUACUCUAUCCGACUGGACGCUUGUAACGUCACGAUCAUCAAUGCGUUUUAGUACAUUAACAUUCGGUGUAAUUAAACAGAUAUAUCAUGUUAUUGAGGGG
rnacentral:lncRNA from 1 species